UUGAGGGGGUUAGUUUAAUUAAAAAAUAAAUAAUAAAAAAAAUUUUAAUAUAAAUAUAUUUUAAUGGGGGUUAGAGUAUAAUUUAUAGAAAAAAUUUUAAAAUUUAUAGUUUAAUAGUAUUGUGAGAGAAAUUUGAAAUAAAAUGAAAAAUUAAUUAUUGUAAAAGUAAAUUUGAUUUAUUGUAUCUUGGGUAUCAGAGUUUAUUAAUAAGAAAUUUUUUAAAAAAAAAAAUCUCGAAUUUAAAAGAGAAAAUUAAUUAAAAAAGUUAUUGUGUCAUAAUUAUUUUUAAUAAUUAAUUUGAAAUGAAAUGUUAUUCGUUUUUAAAGAUAUCUAGUUUUUUUAGAAAUAAAUUAAAUUUAUAAUUUUUUUUUAAUAAAAAUUAAAUAUAUUUAAUUUUUAUUAGAAAAAAUUUAAUAAGUUAAGGGAUAAGCUUUAAUUUAAAUUUUUAUAAUAAAAAUAAAGAUUAAAAUAAAAUUUUUAAAAUUUAUAUUGUUUAUAAAUUAUAUUUUUUUAUAAAAAAUUUUAAUUAUUAAAAAAUUUUAAAAUUUAAAAUUUAAUUUUUUAUAAAAAAAUAAUUUUUAAUAAUAAAAAAUUAGUUAUAAUGAUAAAAUUAGUAAAAUUUUAAAAAUAUAAAAUUAAUAAAUUUAUAAGUAAAAAAAAGGAAUUCGGCAAAAAUGAAUAUUCACUUGUUUAUCAAAAACAUGUCUUUUUGAUUAUAAUUUAAAGUCUAAUCUGCCCACUGAUUAUUUAAUUAAAGGGCUGCAGUAUAUUGACUGUACAAAGGUAGCAUAAUCAUUAGUCUUUUAAUUGAAGACUUGUAUGAAGGAUUUGAUGAAAUAUUAACUGUCUCUUUAUUAUAGUUUGAAUUUAAUUUUUUAGUUAAAAAGCUAAAAUUUAUUUAAAAGACGAGAAGACCCUAUAGAGUUUUAUAGUUAAAUUUAUUUUUGUUUUAUAUAAAAAUUUAAAUUAAAAAUAAUGUUAAUUAUUUUAUUGGGGUGAUAGAAAAAUUUAAAUAACUUUUUUUUUUAUUAAACAUUAAUGUAUGAAAAAUUGAUCCAUAAUUUAUGAUUAAAAGAAAAAAUUACCUUAGGGAUAACAGCGUAAUUUUUUUUUUUAGUACAAAUAAAAAAAAGAGUUUGCGACCUCGAUGUUGGAUUAAGAUAAAAUUUAAAUGCAGAAGUUUAAAAUUUUGAUCUGUUCGAUCAUUAAAAUCUUACAUGAUCUGAGUUCAAACCGGUGUGAGCCAGGUUGGUUUCUAUCUUUAGAAAAAUUUAAUAUUUUAGUACGAAAGGAUUAAAUAUUAAAAAUAUAUUUUAAUGUAUGUGUAUAUGUAUAUAUGUAUAUAGAAUAUUAAUAAUUAGAAGUAAAAU
rnacentral:rRNA from 1 species